UGAGGAAUUUUGCGCAAUGGGAGCAAUCCUGACGCAGCAACGCCGCGUGAGUGAUGAAGGCCUUCGGGUCGUAAAGCUCUGUCAGGUGGGAAGAACAUCCAUGGGAUGAAUAAUGUCAUGGAGUGACGGUACCCCCAGAGGAAGCACCGGCUAACUCCGUGCCAGCAGCCGCGGUAAUACGGAGGGUGCGAGCGUUAUUCGGAAUUACUGGGCGUAAAGCGCGUGCAGGCGGGAAGACAAGUCUGAUGUGAAAGCCCCGGGCUUAACCUGGGAAGUGCAUUGGAAA
rnacentral:rRNA from 1 species